CUGAGGCCAUGUCCUGGCUGCCUUGAGUCUGUGGGGCUAUACAGCCUCCUGCCCAUAUAUCCAGGGUUCUGACUCUGUCCAGCCCCUAGACCAGCUCCCAAGCCUACUCCUCACCCAAAUCUGGGCUGAGGAGACUCCUCAAGCUUCGGGACUCAGCAGGGCACAGCAGCAGUCACGUGCAUGCUGGGACCGCCACGGACAGGCUGCUGCUCCCGGGGCCCCCAGAGGCCCAUCUAUUUGCCUCCCGGUGCCGUCUGACCCAGCCAGACCGAGCUUCAUCCCAGAGCUGAGAGGACCCCUGGACAGGAGCUGGGGCAGCUGAGGAGUGGAACAGGAGCUGCCAGCACAGCAUCUUCCCUCUGCUCACCCGACUUGACUCAGGACCCCGCGGGCUAGGGACAUACGCACGCUCACACUUGUGCGUCCU